UUGUGCGCACUUGCCGGAACGAGCCCGUCUCUGCUGCGCCGUCGUCGGCAGUGUCUCUAAUGGUGUGGCGGCGUCGGCGCGUCCCUCCCCUAAUGGCUGUCGCUCUCCCGCCGCGAGGAGUAUUACGACGCUGUCUUUGGGCUGUUCAUUAUCGCGAUUCGUUUGAAGAGCCUUCCUGAAAGCAGCCUCAGUGUGACAGGCAGUCUUGCAUGUCUCAAGCGAGGAUCUAGGAUAACAGCAUGAUUACAGCACUCAAACACGGGGACUCCGACCAGAUCAUCACAAAGGACCAAACGAAUGCCCGCCAUUUUUUGGUUGUUAUUGAAAAGCGGUCUAGAAGUCGAAGGUAAAGAAGUGUAUUGAAAUAUUGAUAUUCCAAGGAUUGGGAAGAAUUCGUGAGACUUAAUUUUCUUUUUUUCGAGUGUCCACAUCUGACAGUUUAAUAGAAAGAAAGAAAAUUGUAAAGUCAAGACAACUAGAAAGAAAAAGAAAACGAAAUAAAGUAAUAGAGAAAACGGAAACGUGAUAAAACCACAGAAUAAUAAAAAGUGAAUGAAACAAAGAAAACGAAAAAAAUAACAGAAAAAGAAAUUACACCAUAGAGAAAAAACAAAGACAGAAGCAAACGAAAUAAAAACAGAUAAAGAAGAAGAAAAAAGCCCCCAAACCAUCAAAGAAAGGAAAUUAAGCCACAGAUAAAAAAAACAACAAAAACAAAACGGCAAACGAAAUAAAGACACAAAUAAAGAAAAAAAAAGCACCCUCCCCCCCCCCAAAAAAAAAAAAACGCCAAAAACCCAGAAAAUAAUUUUAAAAACCACUUAUUCAGACGAGGACCGCGUAGCCCAGAGCCUUCGACAACAUCUAUAAACAUGGUAUCACUCAGGUCCUGCGAGCCGAACCCCCAGGUCACCUCCACGGGGAAGGCGGGCGGCGCGGGCGUACGGGCGGGCUGUGCAGUGAAGGCGAUCAACGGCACGCCCACCGCUCAGCUGACUCUCUCGCACGCCCACGCCCUCACCAAGCAGGGCUCGACGCUCACCCUCGAGAUCGACGAGUAAGUGGAAAGUCUGAGUCUGUUUUGAAGUCUCCGAGGGGUGUGUGGUUGCCGAUUCGGGUUUGGUUUUCCUUUGUUAAUUUGUCUCCUUUUUUUCCUUUUUCUUCGUUUUCGUU
rnacentral:lncRNA from 1 species